AUGUUUGCUGCAAAUCUAUUGGUUAUAAGAUAUAACAGCCUUGUCUAAUUGGCUGAAUUCAAAUACAGAAAGUUUACCUGUUAGAUUGAAACAUGAAACAUGGUGGACAAUGUACUGGUUUAACUUGUUAAAAUAAAGUUAAAGAAAUUUAACAAACAAAAGAGUUCAUUAGUUUUUCCAUUAAAAACACUUUCUUAAAAUACUUAUGUAUUUAUAUCAUUUGGAAAGUGACAUGAAAUAUUGCUAAAGAGUGAUGCAUACAGUGUUUGAGCAGUCUGUCUAGGAAUAGAACAACAACUAAAGUUGAUGGAAGAUACUGCAGAGUUUGGCAGGGAAAUAAUCCAACAGCAAAGCGGCUCUUUAAGCGCAUUUACCUAGAGGACUUACAGGGCCACAAAUUCAUGAGCACAUGUGAGCAGUAUACAAUGUACCUCAUAUCAAAAAGACCCGGAGGCAGUGACUGGUGUUCAAUAUUCUCAGAAGAAAAGGAAAAUGGCAGUGGAAGACUUGGACAAACAUUUUUAAAAACUAGCCUCUGUGUUAAGCCUGGCAGUCUGUGGCUGGUGACAUGUUUUAUUUUGGUUACUUCCUGUAUAAAAAGGACCAGUUAUUUAUUUUGUGAAUUGUAUUUUGUGUUUGUUUUUUGUCUUAAUUUAUUUGUGUUUUUUUUAAUUUAGGAAUUUGAAACUUGGAUAAUUGAAUAAAGUCCGUGUUCAACAGUACUGAGCAUAGUAUAAUAAAUAACAAAUUUACAACAGUUGUUAAUUUGUUAUGUAUUAUUAUUAACUAUGCUCAGUACUUGAAUACUGGCUGUCUGCAUGGGAAUUUGUUUUCUAGAAAGUUGGUUUCAGACUUAAAUAUUUGAAGUUAACCUUCAGAACUUUUCUAGAAUUGUACUGGAACACAUCAACUAGAACUGAACUUCUGUUAUCAUACUGAAAGUGUUCUAGAAUUAAUAAGGAACAGUUGUUGAACGUUAAAAAUUAUGAGAAAAAACUCUAGAACAAUUGUGCGUGAUGUGUGUGUGCAUGUAAUUGUGUGUGUUUAUGAACAUAUGUGAGAAAGGAGGUAUACUUGUCAUAAGAGAAAUGUAAAAUUCUACUUCUAUGUUUUAUAUUGUGCCUUUUAUAAGUUUUUCUUUUCUCACCUGUAUAUGCAUGCAUGUUUAUGGAUGUGUUUUUGAAUGUGUGCAUGCAUGCAUGUGGUUAAGAGAGUUGGUACUUUAUGAAAAUGUAAAACCACUCAUUUUUGAAUAUGUACUGUGACUGCAUGUGUGUGGUUAAUGAUUGAUGCCAGAUCUUGUUCUUGUUUAACUUCUAUGAUGAAACCUUUAGUUACAUUCACAUUUGUUUUUCAAAAUCAAUAAAAUGCCUUUGAUCUAUAAUCUGUUUUUUUUUCUAUUUUAUUCCAGCUUUUUAUUAAAUUCCAUAGCUUUUCACGGAAUUCCACGGCAUUCUAUGGAAUUCCACGGCAUUCUAUGGAAUUCCACGGCAUUCUAUGGAAUUCCACUGCAUUCUAUGGAAUUCCACGGCGUUCUAUGGAAUUCCACGGCGUUCUAUGGAAUUCCACGGCAUUCUAUGGAAUUCCACGGCAUUCUAUGGAAUUCCACGGCAUUAUAUGGAAUGCCACGGAAUUCUAUGGAAUUCCACGGCAUUUUAUGGAAUUCCAUCCCAUAUCAAGUCCCCCUUCUGUUUUUUUUUCACUUUUCCAUUGAUUGCAUGGAAUCGGAUGGAAAGUUAGUGCCAAUACUCCACGGAAUUCCAUCUAACGAUUUCCAUAGAAUUCCAUAUGAUUCCACGGCAGAUCUACAGACGGGUAACUUAA